UAUGGCCAUACCAUUCUGAAUGUGCCUGAUCUUGUCUGAUCUCAGAAGAUAAAAUGAUCUUGUCUGAUCUCAGAAGAUAAAAUAU
rnacentral:rRNA from 1 species